rnacentral:rRNA from 1 species
UGGGGAAUAUUGCACAAUGGGCGCAAGCCUGAUGCAGCGACGCCGCGUGGGGGAUGACGGCCUUCGGGUUGUAAACUCCUUUCGCUAGGGACGAAGCUUUUUGUGACGGUACCUAGAUAAGAAGCACCUGCUAACUACGUGCCAGCAGCCGCGGUAAUACGUAGGGUGCGAGCGUUGUCCGGAAUUACUGGGCGUAAAGGGCUCGUAGGUGGUUUGUCGCGUCGUCUGUGAAAUUCCGGGGCUUAACUCCGGGCGUGCAGGCGAUACGGGCAUAACUUGAGUACUGUAGGGGUAACUGGAAUUCCUGGUGUAGCGGUGAAAUGCGCAGAUAUCAGGAGGAACACCGAUGGCGAAGGCAGGUUACUGGGCAGUUACUGACGCUGAGGAGCGAAAGCAUGGGUAGCGAACAGG